rnacentral:lncRNA from 1 species
AGAUUUGGACCAGUGAGUAUCAAACUUGUAAGGCAACAACUUAUUCAGAAGGAAGAAAAUUUUUAAGAAAUAGCCCAUGAUGGAUUUGCAUUAUUAAAAUAUAUGGAGAAAACAGCAUCAGGGAAGUUUAGGAUGAGAAGUUUCAUCAAUUCUUGUCAAAGGUCCUCACUACUACCUUCAACCUACUUUUCAGAUUUCUGAAAGAUCCAUCUCUUUCUUUCACUCCCUAUAUAAACUGAACCCUGACCGAGACCCACAGAUACAACUGAUUAUUCUUCUAAAUGAAAAUUUUAAAGCCACCAGUCUAUGUAAAAAUUUAUAGCUACAUAAUAAAAUAAUGGCUUUAUUCUCAGUUUCCUUUCCGUUACAGAGUAGAGAAGCCAGUUUUAUGAGUAACUCCUAGCAAUGCCCAAGUUAAAAUCUGGUGUGUUGGAAGCUAAAACCACUGAUGAAUCAUCAUAUUGAUGAAUGGCCACACAAAUUCAGACCACACAAGACUUCAAACCAGGCCUAAAGGUCAACAUGAUAGCCACAAAUGGAAGGGCAGCAGGGAAGAAAGGAAAGAGGAAAAGGAAGAAAGCUUGUUUUCCUUAUAGGCUCCAUGAAGUCAACAGGAAAUGGCUCAGUGUAGAUCAACCAACCACCUUACUGUCCUGAGUAAAAGGCAAGACUGAUAUCUUUCUGAGUGACUGAAGAGUUAAUCACGACUUAGGUAAGACUUUAUCACCUAGAGUUCCGUGUUCGGAUUUUGGAGAAUUCCCUUUGUUUCAUCCCAGU